GCCAGGUGUGGUGGUGUGUGCCUGUAAUCCCAGUUACUUGGGAGGCUGAGGUGGGAGGAUCACUUGGGCCCAGGGUGUCAAGGCUGCAGUGAGCUGUGAUUGUGCCACUGCACUCCAGCCUGGGUGACAGAGUGAGAACCUGUCUCAA
ensembl:misc_RNA Metazoa_SRP Metazoan signal recognition particle RNA